rnacentral:lncRNA from 1 species
GUUACCAUGGAGAAACUGCUGGGGUCGCAUGGCUGCUCUCAACAGCAGGGAACAGUCCUGUCCUUGGUCACCUGCUGCUGCUUGCCCCCAUCUCUCAGUCCAUGCCUGGCACACUGAGGACCAGUUGUUUCUAUCUGUUGUGACACGGUACAUAGGAAAUUGCCUCCUUGAGGAUGAAGCCCCAGCAAAUGACAGAUUCUCACAAAAUCUGAAGCUACCACACACAGAUGGAAGUGCUCCAGAAGAUUUGCCCCACACAGAAGAAGAAAAAAAUCAUAGAAUUUUUAGAGAAGAUUCUUUUUAUCCUGUUUCUGUUCAGAGAGCUCAUGACACCAAUAUAACAACAAAAACUAUUUUUCUUUUAAUUUUAGAAAGUUUCAUAGGUAGAUUAAAUUUUCUCUGCGGUAUUUUCUCUCCAUUUGAUUUGGUUUAUUUUGGCUAA